rnacentral:rRNA from 1 species
CCCUAGUAACGGCGAGUGAAGCGGCAACAGCUCAAAUUUGAAAUCUGGCGUCUUUGGCGUCCGAGUUGUAAUUUGCAGAGGGCGCUUUGGCAUUGGCAGCGGUCCAAGUUCCUUGGAACAGGACGUCACAGAGGGUGAGAAUCCCGUACGUGGUCGCUAGCCUUUACCGUGUAAAGCCCCUUCGACGAGUCGAGUUGUUUGGGAAUGCAGCUCUAAAUGGGAGGUAAAUUUCUUCUAAAGCUAAAUACUGGCCAGAGACCGAUAGCGCACAAGUAGAGUGAUCGAAAGAUGAAAAGCACUUUGGAAAGAGAGUUAAAAAGCACGUGAAAUUGUUGAAAGGGAAGCGCUUGCAGCCAGACUUGCCUGUAGUUGCUCAUCCGGGUUUUUACCCGGUGCACUCUUCUAUAGGCAGGCCAGCAUCAGUUUGGGCGGUUGGAUAAAGGUCUCUGUCAUGUACCUCUCUUCGGGGAGAACUUAUAGGGGAGACGACAUGCAACCAGCCUGGACUGAGGUCCGCGCAUCUGCUAGGAUGCUGGCGUAAUGGCUGUAAGCGGCCCGUCUUGAAACACGGACCAAGGAGUCUAACAUCUAUGCGAGUGUUUGGGUGUCAAGCCCGAACGCGUAAUGAAAGUGAACGGAGGUGGGAACCUUUCGGGGUGCACCAUCGACCGAUCCUGAUGUCUUCGGAUGGAUUUGAGUAAGAGCAUAGCUGUUGGGACCCGAAAGAUGGUGAACUAUGCUUGAAUAGGGUGAAGCCAGAGGAAACUCUGGUGGAGGCUCGCAGCGGUUCUGACGUGCAAAUCGAUCGUCAAAUUUGGGCAUAGGGGCGAAAGACU